UACGGGGGGAGCAAGCGUUGUUCGGAUUUACUGGGCGUAAAGGGCGCGUAGGCGGUCAGCACAAGUCAGUUGUGAAAUCUCCGGGCUUAACUCGGAAAGGUCAACUGAUACUGUGCGACUAGAGUGCGGAAGGGGCAACUGGAAUUCUCGGUGUAGCGGUGAAAUGCGUAGAUAUCGAGAGGAACACCUGCGGCGAAGGCGGCCUUCUGGACAGUGACUGACGCUGAGACGCGAAAGCGUGGGGAGCAAACAGG
rnacentral:rRNA from 2 species